rnacentral:rRNA from 1 species
AUGGAAUGAGCGGCGGACGGGUGAGUAACACGUAAAGAACCUGCCCUCAGGUCUGGGAUAACCACGAGAAAUCGGGGCUAAUACCGGAUGGGUCAUCGGACCGCAUGGUCCGAGGAUGAAAGGCGCUUCGGCGUCGCCUGGGGAUGGCUUUGCGGUGCAUUAGCUAGUUGGUGGGGUAAUGGCCCACCAAGGCGACGAUGCAUAGCCGACCUGAGAGGGUGAUCGGCCACACUGGGACUGAGACACGGCCCAGACUCCUACGGGAGGCAGCAGUAGGGAAUCUUCCACAAUGGACGAAAGUCUGAUGGAGCAACGCCGCGUGAACGAUGAAGGCCUUCGGGUCNUCAAC